GCAUCAAAGUGCAGGGUUCAGGCGGCAGGUCAAGGAAUGCUAUGCUAUGGCGCCACCAAGUGGGGAUUAUUUUGUUCUGCAGCCUUUUCCAUCCUCUCCCGCCAUCUGCUCGUGCGUGCAUGUAUAAGCACGUGACAUAUUUGGAGCGGAAAAGGAGUUUACCAGAAUUCUUUCGAUUGAUAAUUUGUGGAGUGCACAGGAGUCGUCAAUUAAAAAAUGUCGAACAGAUCGUCUCAAGCCUGAAUUGUAAAAUAUGCGUAUAGCUUACACUCUACCAGCUGCUAAUGUGGCUAUCAUAAAGAACUUAAAAUGCCAUGAUCAUCUGGACUAGACUGCGAAUCGAGGCAAAGGACAAUCGUUGUCAAUGACCUGUGUUCCCACAUCUUCUGCACACUACCUGUCUGCGCUCGCUGGAGUUCAACAAUGUAAUUCUGGAACCUGAAUGCAAGGUUGAGUCCACUCUUCCAUAAGGAGGGGUGGAGGGAAUGCAGGUGGACAGCAUGAUCAUCUGCCUCAUCUACACUGCCAAAAUGAACAAAAUGAAAAGGAAGGGGGCGCUGGUGGCGGAGUGGAGGCGAGGAUGAGGGCCCUGGACACGGCCAUGCAGAAGGCCAAGCAGGUCGGACAGCACCCCUCCCUGAAGAGCUACUGCGACCUGGAACAGGUACGCACACGCUCUAAACUGCACCUCCUGGUUGUCGUGGCACUUCAAGGAAGACGAUGUGUGUUUAUGUUGAACAGUUGCUGACUGUAUGUCCAGUCGUUUGACCUGAAGGGCUGAGCUGUAUAGUUCAGCAAGAUGAGCUGGUUAGGAGUCUGAAGGUGUGUCUGAAGAUCAACAUUGGGAAUGCCAAGAUACAGAGGAGCCGGUCCACAUAGGAGAGCGAGAGGCCCCAACAGCAGGCAGUGCCCAACAGGAAUGAUGAGACCUCCCCCAUCCAGCACCAGGGAGCCUGUUCCCCUCUCCAGGAGCAGGUAAGCUUGAGGAUGACUACGCCUACCCGGGGCCCCUCUCUGGCCCUCGCCCCUUCCCCAGAUCCAGCCCCAUCUCAGACUCCAGACCCAACGUCAUCAUGGAGGAGAUUGAACAAGGAGGAGGAGACAAAGGGAAUUUAAAAUCCAGCCAUCAACUCACCACAGCCUCAUCCAAAAAAGUUAUCCCAGCACACCUGUCUGAGCUGCAGCAGGCCACUGAGAGCCCAAAGGAACAGUAAGAAGAUCCAGGAGGACCUCCCACCUGUCAGUCAGGGCAAAGACCUGCGAGCAGUCGCUCCACCUGGACAGCCACAACGUGAAUUAAUCUCCUAAUACCCGACAGGAGCCAUGGCCAUCAUGACCAUCAAGAGAACACAGAGCAGCGUCUGGUGCCGGUCUCCAACCGGGCUGGGAAAGACGUCGGCAUCGCAGACUUCCUGGUUAGUGAGGACUUCGCCCUGAAAGAGAGGAGGCCACGGUGAGUAACAGAACUCUGUGUGGAUGUAUGUUUGUGUUUACAGUUGAGUAGAAGAUGUUUCCUAGGACCCAUGUCUAUCUACUGGCUCUACUUAUCUGCCCUCUCUCUGUCCCCGUGUCCUGUGCCAUGCUUAAACUAGAGGAAUUCUCCAACUCUGACUCCAAGGGCCAUCAAAACGGGACACCUGACCCAGAAAACCAGACCCCCUUCCUCUGACCGGUUAGUCUCUACCCCUCCCAAGCCGGUUACAGCUCAUGAAGUACGCUUCAUCACAUUCUCACCUCCGUCUCCAGGCUUCUCACCUACAUCUUCGUUGUCGUUCAGGGGACGCGCUGCUGCUCUAACUGGCAAACUGCCUUUCCACUCUGAUGCUGUAAGUAGCAAGUUGGUUGUCUCUUCUCUCCACUCGCGUGCUGCAUUCUGUUGUUAUGUGAACGACUGGCUGAGCCAGGCUCGAGCCUUGGAUACAGACAGUAUUGCUCCACGCGCGCAUCACUUGUUCGCUUACAGACCGUAAUGUUAGACAAGCCCCCCCCCCAAAAAAAAAAAUAACUGUUGCUCAUCUGAUCUACACAAGUCACGUAGGUUACCUAUUUUGGAAUUUAAAAGAGCGAAUUCCGCCGAAAGGUUACUAGUUUGCAUUCCUGGGACUCUCUGGAUGGGAUGAUGCUCAGCAGGAUCAUGGUUCACCACCAACAUGGCUCUGUAGACCAGGUUGUUGCAGGAGUGAGGGUUGGGUAUGUUGUUUUAACAUUACCCUGGUUUUAGUCCUUCCUCUUUUUCUUCUAAUAGUCAUUGAACCAACACUAUUGUCUAAAUCCAUCUGUGAUUCUUCUAAGGAGCUGGUGUCAUCUCACCUAGAUCUAGAGGACUGGGAGAUUGACAAAGAGGGGUUGGAUGACCCAAAGCCAGUACUGAGGGUGUUCUCCUACCCUGACCUGCCUGAGAAAGGAGAACUCUUCCGGGUCCAGAUCAAACACCUCCGAACCCCUAACGAGAGGGCAGUAGUGGGGAGAGUCUGGAGGAAGCUCUGAAGAGUCCUUGACAGGAUGGACCGUUUGGCCAUGUUCUCGGACUUCACCAUUGAGUACAGUGAUGGGAAGUACUACCAGGCCAAGCUGUUGGGCUUCGCUGGUCUGAACCUUGUCAAGGUCCUGGUCAGACACGUGGUCUUUGGGUCUGACGACACCCUGCCCACACAGACCUCACUGUGGGCCCGAUCAUAACUGAAGAUUGGAGCAUAAGUCAAUCCCAUCGAUAUGCAAAAGUUUGAGUUACGGGAAGGAAUAAGGUGGCUUUUUCCCCUUCCAAUUAAUCUUUAGUCCGUUUUCACAAACUCAACCAUUACGAAACAAAUACGCAAAAGUAAAACCCGGCCCAUCAGUUCCCUUGUAAGGCCAUCAAGGUGCGAGU